GAUUAAAGAAAUCCACACCUGUCGUAACUUGUUGAGUGGAUCAAGUGUCCUUGAGUGUGCGGCAUUGCGAUGUCUGCUGAUCGGUUUUGACGCAAUGUGAUUUCUGCCCAGUGCUCUGAAUAUCAAAGUGAAGAAAUUCAACCAAGCGCGGGUAAACAUCGGGAGUAACUAUGACUCUCUUAAGGUAGCCAAAUGCCUCGUCAUCUAAUUAGUGACGCGCAUGAAUGGAUUAACGAGAUCCCU
rnacentral:ncRNA from 1 species